rnacentral:tRNA from 1 species
GAAUGAUGGGGACUGACAUUAACGGACUUAAAAUCCGUUGACCGCAAGGUCGUGCCGGUUCGAGUCCGGCCCGGGGCACCA